rnacentral:misc_RNA from 1 species
UUAAGUUCAGCGGGUAUCCCUACCUGAUCCGAGGUCAAAUUCAUGGGGGUAGCUUCUGGGAGCCGAUCCGUCGGGCCCGAGUUCGCGUUUCUGCUGCGCUCGAAGCCAACGUGCCGGCCGCCAAUAGACUUGAGGCGAGUCCGCGCACGCGGCGGGACAAAACGCCCAACACCAAGCAAGGCUUGAGGGUUGAAAUGACG